rnacentral:rRNA from 1 species
GGAAGCACCGGCUAACUCCGUGCCAGCAGCCGCGGUAAUACGGAGGGUGCGAGCGUUGUUCGGAUUUAUUGGGCGUAAAGCGCGUGUAGGCGGUUUCUUAAGUCUGAUGUGAAAGCCCUGGGCUCAACCUGGGAAGUGCAUUGGAUACUGGGAGACUUGAAUACGGGAGAGGGUAGUGGAAUUCCUAGUGUAGGAGUGAAAUCCGUAGAUAUUAGGAGGAACACCGGUGCGAAGGCGGCUACCUGGACCGAUAUUGACGCUGAGACGCGAAAGCGUGGGUAGCAAACAGGAUUAGAUACCCUGGUAGUCCACGCCGUAAAC